rnacentral:rRNA from 1 species
GACAGAGGAGCCAAGCGUUGUCCGGAUUGACUGGGCGUAAAGCGCACGCAGGCGGUCGUGCACGUGGGGUGUGAAAACUGGCGGCUUAACUGCCAGAGGCCACCUCAUACGGCGCGACUCGAGCCCGUGAGAGGUCCAUGGAAUUGCCGGUGUAGUGGUGAAAUGCGUAGAGAUCGGCAGGAACACCCAGGGGGAAACCAGUGGACUGGGCAUGCGCUGACGCUCAGGUGCGAAAGCGUGGGGAGCGAACCGG